CUGAAAAAAAUGGACUUAGUGGGUCUUUGAAUUUAAAUAAAAUAAACAUGUAUAUGCAACACAAAAUAUUUAUAUUCCUUGUGUAAACAUAAUUUAAUUGAUUAGGAUUAAAAUGUUUUGUUUGAAUGUAAAAUGAACACAUUAUUCUCACAUUGAUUAAAAUUGAUUAAAUUAAAUACUUAAAGCAAUAAAAUUGGGUUUGGACACAAAACGGCACCUCCUGAGCAGCAGGGGCAGUAUAGCUCAUUGAGAAGGACGUCGAUUGCCAUAAAAGAAGAAUAAAGAUCGUUUUUUUGGGCGCCAAAAUGAAGACUAAGCACAGCAGUCACUGCCAUUCAGUCAGAAGAACUCUCUCAGACGGACACCACGUUAUUAAAGUCCAUCAUCCUUGCACACACUCAAAAGCAUUGAUAAAUGCUGAAUUUAAAAGAAUCACUACUGUCUAAUGUUCCUGUGUCACCUGGACCUCCAAUCCAAAAACCUGAUGAAACUCUUCUAUCAGAAAGGAGGACAGCUAGCAAAAAGACUUCAAACAAUUAAUGAUCAAAUGACAGAAGGCAUGGAUGAAGACAGCAUCAGUGAGGUCAUUUGAAGACACCAAUGUUGGGAUUUGUGCUCUCAAACAACCUGCUGCUUGUGAUGAAGAAGAGGAUCUUUGUAUAGUCCUGGAAGGCAUGAAGGUGUUGCAACAUCGUGCCAUGUUGUUUGAGCUGAUGUAUGCCUUAAACCUGAGCUAUCCUGAUCUCCGCUUUAUUUUUGAGGAAAUCCAAAAGAUUUUAAUGGAACUGCAUUGAGAGUAACUUUAACGAACAGUUUCUUUCAGUGAAAGGCUCAGAAAGACUGUGCUGCUCAUUUUUGACUUUGUUUAUCUGUUUCAAGUGUUUUCUCUUAUUAAUACAUUAACCGUUUGCUGCUCAGAGUCGAUUUUGGAAAUGGUUGUUGUAUUUUGUUUUUGUUGAAUCUAUGAUUAACAGUUUAUACAAAUGCUGUAGCUCUGACUUUCUGAAGGAUUGAUAUUUUCCAGUUUGUAAAUCCAUUUUAAAAAUAAUAGUACAUACUGUUUUGCAUGUCUCUUUGGAAUGCAGUGUUUGUGCUUUAGCACUUCUAAAUCUACUGUGAUAGUAACUAUUUUAAACAUUUGGGUCAGUUUCACAGAUGGGGCUUUUCCUAGUCCCAGACUUUUGCAAUGCCAUAUAUCAGUGCCAUUGUUUUGUCUAAAGAUGUACUCCAUUGUUGUUUUUGUAAGGUAGGUUUGUUUGUAAACAUUUUUGUAAAAAUAUCCUAAUAUAACUAGGGCCUAGUCAUGAAUUAAUCUACAACCUGUUUGGGAAAUUGCCCCUUUAUGUAUGUACUGCAUGUGCUGAUUGUUAUAAUAGUUAUUGACUGUUAUUGAAUUAAUGUGUAAUGAUUUAAAUGAAUUGAUGAUCUGAAAGCAGUGGUUUGCCUCAAUAUCACUAAACAUUUGUACAAAACUCUUCACUUUUUAUGCCAAUGCAAAUGUAUUUUGUAUUUAAAAAGAAAUAAAUAACAUUUGGAUAA